rnacentral:rRNA from 1 species
UACGUAGGGGGCGAGCGUUAUCCGGAUUUACUGGGUGUAAAGGGAGCGUAGACGGCGUCGCAAGUCUGAAGUGAAAGCCCGUGGCUCAACCGCGGAACCGCUUUGGAAACUGCGAGGCUGGAGUGCUGGAGAGGUAAGCGGAAUUCCUGGUGUAGCGGUGAAAUGCGUAGAUAUCAGGAGGAACACCGGUGGCGAAGGCGGCUUACUGGACAGUGACUGACGUUGAGGCUCGAAAGCGUGGGGAGCGA